rnacentral:rRNA from 1 species
UGGGGAAUUUUGGACAAUGGGCGAAAGCCUGAUCCAGCAAUGCCGCGUGUGUGAAGAAGGCCUUCGGGUUGUAAAGCACUUUUGUCCGGAAAGAAAUCCUUGGCUCUAAUACAGUCGGGGGAUGACGGUACCGGAAGAAUAAGCACCGGCUAACUACGUGCCAGCAGCCGCGGUAAUACGUAGGGUGCAAGCGUUAAUCGGAAUUACUGGGCGUAAAGCGUGCGCAGGCGGUUUGCUAAGACCGAUGUGAAAUCCCCGGGCUCAACCUGGGAACUGCAUUGGUGACUGGCAGGCUAGAGUAUGGCAGAGGGGGGUAGAAUUCCACGUGUAGCAGUGAAAUGCGUAGAGAUGUGGAGGAAUACCGAUGGCGAAGGCAGCCCCCUGGGCCAAUACUGACGCUCAUGCACGAAAGCGUGGGGAGCAAACGGGAUUAGAUACCCUGGUAGUCCACGCCCUAAA